GACGAACGCUGGCGGCGUGCUUAACACAUGCAAGUCGAACGGAAAGGCCCUGCUUUUGUGGGGUGCUCGAGUGGCGAACGGGUGAGUAACACGUGAGUAACCUGCCCUUGACUUUGGGAUAACUUCAGGAAACUGGGGCUAAUACCGGAUAGGAGCUCCUGCUGCAUGGUGGGGGUUGGAAAGUUUCGGCGGUUGGGGAUGGACUCGCGGCUUAUCAGCUUGUUGGUGGGGUAGUGGCUUAACAAGGCUUUGACGGGUAGCCGGCCUGGGAGGGUGACCGGCCACAUUGGGACUGAGAUACGGCCCAGACUACUACGGGAGGCAGCAGUGGGGAAUAUUGCACAAGGGGCGGAAGCCUGAUGCAGCAACGCAGCGUGCGGGAUGACGGCCUUCGGGUUGUAAACCGCUUUCGCCUGUGACGAAGCGUGAGUGACGGUAAUGGGUAAAGAAGCACCGGCUAACUACGUG
rnacentral:rRNA from 1 species